GACGAACGCUGGCGGCGUGCUUAACACAUGCAAGUCGAACGGUGAAGCGCUUUCCUUUUUGGUUGGUGUGGAUGAGUGGCGAACGGGUGAGUAACACGUGAGUAACCUGCCCCCUUCUUCUGGAUAACCGCAUGAAAGUGUGGCUAAUACGGGAUAUUCUGCGCCUGCUGCAUGGUGGGUGUGGGAAAGAUUGUGCCUUUGGGGGUUUUCGGUGGGGGAUGGGCUCGCGGCCUAUCAGCUUGUUGGUGGGGUGAUGGCCUACCAAGGCGGUGACGGGUAGCCGGCCUGAGAGGGUGGACGGUCACACUGGGACUGAGACACGGCCCAGACUCCUACGGGAGGCAGCAGUGGGGAAUAUUGCACAAUGGGCGCAAGCCUGAUGCAGCGACGCCGCGUGAGGGAUGGAGGCCUUCGGGUUGUGAACCUCUUUCGCCAGUGAAGCAGGCCUGCUCCUUGUGGGUGGGUUGACGGUAGCUGGAUAAGAAGCGCCGGCUAACUACGUG
rnacentral:rRNA from 1 species